AGGACGAACGCUGGCGGCGUGCUUAACACAUGCAAGUCGAGCGGAAAGGCCCUUCGGGGUACUCGAGCGGCGAACGGGUGAGUAACACGUGAGUAACCUGCCCCUAGCUCCGGGAUAGCUCCGGGAAACCGGAAUUAAUACCGGAUGUGAUCACGGCCGACAUCGGCCACGAUGGAAAGAUUUAUCGGCUAGGGAUGGGCUCGCGGCCUAUCAGCUUGUUGGUGGGGUAGUGGCCUACCAAGGCGACGACGGGUAG
rnacentral:rRNA from 1 species